rnacentral:rRNA from 1 species
AUUGAACGCUGGCGGCAUGCCUUACACAUGCAAGUCGAACGGCAGCACGGGAGCAAUCCUGGUGGCGAGUAGCGAACGGGUGAGUAAAGUAUCGGAACGUGCCCAGUCGUGGGGGAUAACGUAGCGAAAGUUACGCUAAUACCGCAUACGAUCUAUGGAUGAAAGCGGGGGAUCGCAAGACCUCGCGCGAUUGGAGCGGCCGAUAUCAGAUUAGGUAGUUGGUGGGGUAAAGGCUCACCAAGCCGACGAUCUGUAGCUGGUCUGAGAGGACGACCAGCCACACUGGGACUGAGACACGGCCCAGACUCCUACGGGAGGCAGCAGUGGGGAAUUUUGGACAAUGGGCGAAAGCCUGAUCCAGCCAUGCCGCGUACAGGAUGAAGGCCUUCGGGUUGUAAACUGCUUUUGUACGGAACGAAAAGGUUUGUCCUAAUAAGCUGAGCUCAUGACGGUACCGUAAGAAUAAGCACCGGCUAACUACGUGCCAGCCGCCGCGGUAA